UCCUCGACUGCACACUUUCUUUGCAAAAUGCCUUGAAAGGUUAAGUAUCGAACGUACCCCCAAAACUGACUGAAAAUAUUGUCAAAAUUGUAUCAAUCUUUGGACACAGAAAGGGAAAUAAAAAAAGCAUUUAAAAUACAUCCGCUUCCUUAGGGCAAAGCUGAUUUAAUACAUUAUUAGGGCCAUCAAUGCUUUCAAGGAAGAACCGCAGCAAUCGCAUCAAGCCCCUGUGGCUGAUGAGCCCCAAAAAUGGUUGCGCGAACUACUGCUAACAAUGAACAGUACGGCUUUAAUUACUGCUCAUAUGAAACUGGCCAUAAGUCUCUAUCUAGUCUUCGGGACCAAAAUGUUCUGGUGGGGAAUCACUUAUCUACUAAUGAGUCUGUUCGGCAUCCUGGUGAUCAUCAUCUAUUUCCCACUAAUCUGGAAAUCCGUGCGACUGGACGCAGUAAAGGUCGUUCUCGUUUGCCUGAUUAUCAGCCAUUUUAUCGAUGCUGGAUUCACCCUUUCGCAUGUUGUGCGAAGCAAUCGGAAAAUGGAUGAUAGGGAAUAUUUAUUCUACAUCUGCGUCAAGGGUUUGCACUUGGGGGUGGUUUUUUCCAGUUUCACCUACUACUGGAGGCUUUACAAUGUCUCAUCAGUGGCAGCUACUCGAAGGUCUACAGUUUGAUUUAUUUGAUUAGGUUUUCACGUUGAUUGUUAGUUUAAGACUGUAAGUAGAUUUUUGUGCCCGAUAUCUUCUCAAGGCAGAGGAAAAUUUCAAAGAUAUUUCCUCAAAAACCGUCACCGGACGAGCAUUAUCACUGUCCCCUCACUCAGAUCAGGCAGAAGUUGGCUUCCAUACCAAAGAGUUCUCUGUAAAAAGCUAAUUGUCGCCAUUGCCUUCCUGUUCCUUGUAUCGGGAUUAUUAAUAUUUAUAAAUAAUUAAUUCCAAUACUUUAACGAAAUCAGGGUGAAAAAACCCCUUCCAUACGUGCAAUUUAUACAGCAAUAAUCAGUAACUUCCUGUUUCGCGACGAAAAAAAUGUCCAUAGAAGGAAAGA
rnacentral:lncRNA from 1 species